rnacentral:rRNA from 1 species
UACGUAGGGGCCUAGCGUUGUCCGGAUUUAUUGGGCGUAAAGAGCUCGUAGGUGGUUCGCUAAGUCGGAUGUGAAAACUCGGGGCUCAACCCCGAGACGCCAUCCGAUACUGGCGUGACUUGAGUCUGGUAGGGGAGAUCGGAAUUCCUGGUGUAGCGGUGAAAUGCGCAGAUAUCAGGAGGAACACCGAUUGCGAAGGCAGCUCGCUAAACUGAAACUGACGCUGAGGCACGAAAGCGUGGGGAGCGAACAGG